rnacentral:rRNA from 1 species
GGUUAAGCGACUAAGCGUACACGGUGGAUGCCCUGGCAGUCAGAGGCGAUGAAGGACGUGCUAAUCUGCGAUAAGCGUCGGUGAGGUGAUAUGAACCGUUAUAACCGGCGAUUUCCGAAUGGGGAAACCCAGUGUGAUUCGUCACACUAUCAUUAACUGAAUCCAUAGGUUAAUGAGGCGAACCGGGGGAACUGAAACAUCUAAGUACCCCGAGGAAAAGAAAUCAACCGAGAUUCCCCCAGUAGCGGCGAGCGAACGGGGAGGAGCCCAGAGCCUGAAUCAGUAUGUGUGUUAGUGGAAGCGUCUGGAAAGGCGCGCGAUACAGGGUGACAGCCCCGUACACAAAAAUGCACAUAUUGUGAGCUCGAUGAGUAGGGCGGGACACGUGGUAUCCUGUCUGAAUAUGGGGGGACCAUCCUCCAAGGCUAAAUACUCCUGACUGACCGAUAGUGAACCAGUACCGUGAGGGAAAGGCGAAAAGAACCCCGGCGAGGGGAGUGAAAAAGAACCUGAAACCGUGUACGUACAAGCAGUGGGAGCCUCUUAAUGGGGUGACUGCGUACCUUUUGUAUAAUGGGUCAGCGACUUAUAUUCUGUAGCAAGGUUAACCGAAUAGGGGAGCCGAAGGGAAACCGAGUCUUAACUGGGCGUUAAGUUGCAGGGUAUAGACCCGAAACCCGGUGAUCUAGCCAUGGGCAGGUUGAAGGUUGGGUAACACUAACUGGAGGACCGAACCGACUAAUGUUGAAAAAUUAGCGGAUGACUUGUGGCUGGGGGUGAAAGGCCAAUCAAACCGGGAGAUAGCUGGUUCUCCCCGAAAGCUAUUUAGGUAGCGCCUCGUGAAUUCAUCUCCGGGGGUAGAGCACUGUUUCGGCAAGGGGGUCAUCCCGACUUACCAACCCGAUGCAAACUGCGAAUACCGGAGAAUGUUAUCACGGGAGACACACGGCGGGUGCUAACGUCCGUCGUGAAGAGGGAAACAACCCAGACCGCCAGCUAAGGUCCCAAAGUCAUGGUUAAGUGGGAAACGAUGUGGGAAGGCCCAGACAGCCAGGAUGUUGGCUUAGAAGCAGCCAUCAUUUAAAGAAAGCGUAAUAGCUCACUGGUCGAGUCGGCCUGCGCGGAAGAUGUAACGGGGCUAAACCAUGCACCGAAGCUGCGGCAGCGACACUAUGUGUUGUUGGGUAGGGGAGCGUUCUGUAAGCCUGUGAAGGUGGCCUGUGAGGGUUGCUGGAGGUAUCAGAAGUGCGAAUGCUGACAUAAGUAACGAUAAAGCGGGUGAAAAGCCCGCUCGCCGGAAGACCAAGGGUUCCUGUCCAACGUUAAUCGGGGCAGGGUGAGUCGACCCCUAAGGCGAGGCCGAAAGGCGUAGUCGAUGGGAAACAGGUUAAUAUUCCUGUACUUGGUGUUACUGCGAAGGGGGGACGGAGAAGGCUAUGUUGGCCGGGCGACGGUUGUCCCGGUUUAAGCGUGUAGGCUGGUUUUCCAGGCAAAUCCGGAAAACCAAGGCUGAGGCGUGAUGACGAGGCACUACGGUGCUGAAGCGACAAAUGCCCUGCUUCCAGGAAAAGCCUCUAAGCAUCAGGUAACAUCAAAUCGUACCCCAAACCGACACAGGUGGUCAGGUAGAGAAUACCAAGGCGCUUGAGAGAACUCGGGUGAAGGAACUAGGCAAAAUGGUGCCGUAACUUCGGGAGAAGGCACGCUGAUAUGUAGGUGAAGCGACUUGCUCGUGGAGCUGAAAUCAGUCGAAGAUACCAGCUGGCUGCAACUGUUUAUUAAAAACACAGCACUGUGCAAACACGAAAGUGGACGUAUACGGUGUGACGCCUGCCCGGUGCCGGAAGGUUAAUUGAUGGGGUUAGCGGCAACGCGAAGCUCUUGAUCGAAGCCCCGGUAAACGGCGGCCGUAACUAUAACGGUCCUAAGGUAGCGAAAUUCCUUGUCGGGUAAGUUCCGACCUGCACGAAUGGCGUAAUGAUGGCCAGGCUGUCUCCACCCGAGACUCAGUGAAAUUGAACUCGCUGUGAAGAUGCAGUGUACCCGCGGCAAGACGGAAAGACCCCGUGAACCUUUACUAUAGCUUGACACUGAACAUUGAGCCUUGAUGUGUAGGAUAGGUGGGAGGCUUUGAAGUGUGGACGCCAGUCUGCAUGGAGCCGACCUUGAAAUACCACCCUUUAAUGUUUGAUGUUCUAACGUUGGCCCCUAAUCGGGGUUGCGGACAGUGUCUGGUGGGUAGUUUGACUGGGGCGGUCUCCUCCUAAAGAGUAACGGAGGAGCACGAAGGUUGGCUAAUCCUGGUCGGACAUCAGGAGGUUAGUGCAAUGGCAUAAGCCAGCUUGACUGCGAGCGUGACGGCGCGAGCAGGUGCGAAAGCAGGUCAUAGUGAUCCGGUGGUUCUGAAUGGAAGGGCCAUCGCUCAACGGAUAAAAGGUACUCCGGGGAUAACAGGCUGAUACCGCCCAAGAGUUCAUAUCGACGGCGGUGUUUGGCACCUCGAUGUCGGCUCAUCACAUCCUGGGGCUGAAGUAGGUCCCAAGGGUAUGGCUGUUCGCCAUUUAAAGUGGUACGCGAGCUGGGUUUAGAACGUCGUGAGACAGUUCGGUCCCUAUCUGCCGUGGGCGCUGGAGAACUGAGGGGGGCUGCUCCUAGUACGAGAGGACCGGAGUGGACGCAUCACUGGUGUUCGGGUUGUCAUGCCAAUGGCACUGCCCGGUAGCUAAAUGCGGAAGAGAUAAGUGCUGAAAGCAUCUAAGCACGAAACUUGCCCCGAGAUGAGUUCUCCCUGACUCCUUGAGAGUCCUGAAGGAACGUUGAAGACGACGACGUUGAUAGGCCGGGUGUGUAAGCGCAGCGAUGCGUUGAGCUAACCGGUACUAAUGAACCGUGAGGCUUAACCUUACAACGCCGAAG